rnacentral:rRNA from 1 species
UACGGGGGGGGCAAGCGUUGUUCGGAAUUACUGGGCGUAAAGGGCUCGUAGGUGGCUAACUACGUCAGACGUGAAAUCCCUCAGCUUAACUGGGGAACUGCGUGUGAUACUGGAUGGCUUGGAUUUGGGAGAGGGAUGCGGAAUUCCAGGUGUAGCGGUGAAAUGCGUAGAUAUCUGGAGGAACACCGGUGGCGAAGGCGGCAUCCUGGACCGAUACUGACGCUGAGGAGCGAAAGCCAGGGGAGCAAACGGG